CUGAACUGGGCGUCCUCAAUUUUAUCUGGCAAGGCCUCGCGGAUCAGGCAAGGAACUUGCUCUCAAACCAGGAGCAAAGGGAGGAGCUCCUCUGAAGUCUGUGCGGUCCCGGGAGACUUCACUUCCCUUCCCGGUUCCCGGCAGCACGUUGCCUUUAUUCGGAGUUAACUACUAGACCUAAUUAAACAGCAUCAUCUCCUCAGAGUGGCUGAUUUUCUUCCCUUCUGAAUACAAAUUAAACUUCCAUGCCGUUAACAUUCAGUCUCGUCAGGGGGCAACUGUUGAUUCAGCGCCUCUGUGUGCCAGGCACGGCGCUGGGCUCUGCGGAAGCCUCGGUGCGCAGGACACACGCGUCGGGGAGACGGAGAACGGGAACCCCCAGCUCUGUGUGCACCUGUGCCUGCCGGUGGGGUGCGGUGCCACAGAAGUGACAGGGAGACGUGCCACGAUUGCGGGAUUCCAACUGAGGCCGAGGCUGGGGGGCUCGUGGGGACUUACACGAGGCUGGGGCCUCUCCGUCAUCCUCGGAAUGACACAGCUGGUCAUGGGAUCGUCAGGCCUCGGCAGACGUUCCACCGCAGAGGAGAAUAUUCUUUUAACCACGGGGACAAGCCAGUCCCUCCUGAAAGGGCUGGGCCAGCAGGACCAGGGUUUGAGCACAAACCCCUCAACGCCAAGAUCCAGAGUGGACACUCUUCCCCUCCCUCCUCCAUAAAGCAUAUCAAAGUCUUAUCUUUUCCAGAUUCUGGAAAGUCUUCCAACAUCACCCCCUUUUGUUUCUCCUGGAUUAGCAUGUGGUCACUUUGGGUUUUGGGAGUCCUUUCCCUGUCCCCAACAGGAAAACUGUCAGGAAUAUUCACUCCAGGGCUGCUUCUACAGGGGGACCUGGGGUCUGAGGGAGCGUGGUGCCAACCCCCACUGAGCUAGCUGUGUGGCUUUGGCUGGGUGACUCAACCUGAGUGUCAGUGUCCCUGCCUUUGUCAUGGGGAUCACGAUGGCGAUGCUCACCUGUGAGGCUGGGAUGAUGACCCCAUGCCAUUGUGUAAACGAAAGGGCCCAGCAAAUGGGAGGUCCACAUCCAGUUGUAGCUCUGUUAAUACAAGGAACGUCAACGUCGGGAAAUGUGUUCAUGACAGCAUCGACUUUUCUGGAGUUUUAUGAGAAUUAAGUGAGCAUUUACUGGCACGUUACAGCACCUCACACGUGAGUAGUCACAGAAGGUCACUGAAGUGUUUGAUGUUUGUAUUAACAAAUAAUAAUACCUCUUGUCCUGUGUCCUGAGGGCCUUGCCGUGAAGAGAGAAGUUGGAUGGAGAAAGAAAACAACUUUUAUUGAGCACGCAGGUGUGCCAGGAACUUUUCCUUUUUAUUUCUCGAGUUCCGUUUUUGUGUUUUCCUUCACGACCACCCUGCCACGAUGGUUCUGUGGUUUUGGUAGAAUCAAGACUCCUGGCGGCAAGCAGUGGAAAACCUAUCUCACUAGCUUAAGCAGAAAGAGAAUUUACUCCUGCAGAAUGGCUCACGGAACUGGAUUAAGCUUCAGGUGCGGCUGGAUCAAGAGCCUUGGGGGAUGUGGCUCCCACGCAGCCUCUCCCACUAACCCUGCCCCCGGGCCCGGCUUUUCUGUGUGUUGGCCUCAGCCACUACCCAGCUGCCUCCUCCUGGUGGCGAGAUGGCGGGCAAAAGCUUCAGGAUUUCCUCCAGAGAGUGUCCCUGUCCUCCCAGCCCUGGCAGGAGUCCCAGAGAAGUCUCUCACUGGCCUCUCUGGGUGAUAGAAGCACCCCUGAGCCCAUUGCGGGGGCCACAGGGAGACCCAGUGCUCUGAUUGGUCAGGUCAGGAUCGGGAACCACCCUUAGGCUCAUAUGUGGGGUCAGCUCUACUCCCCAGAGGAAAAUGGGGUGCUAUUCCCACAGAAGAGGGGAUGGACGCUGGAAGGACAAAACUGCUCUGGGGCCUGGGGGUGGCCUGGGUGACGAGCACCCACAGGCCUGGCCACCGGGAAGCGGAAGAGGACAACCGGCCCGGGCGCUGGGGCCGAGGACCACCGGCUCACAGUGAACUCUCGGCUUAAAACGUGAUUUAUAUUUAGCACGAGGAAAGCUGUCAAGCUCUUAAAUAUGCAUGGGGUUGGAAGAGCCAGGAGGGAGAGAAAGUGCAGAGCCUGCAUGUGCCAGCGAGGAAUUAAUUAGAAAUAAACCCGAUACGAGAAGCU
rnacentral:lncRNA from 1 species